rnacentral:rRNA from 1 species
CCUACGGGUGGCAGCAGUGGGGGAUAUUGCACAAUGGGGGGAACCCUGAUGCAGCGACGCCGCGUGGGGGAAGAAGCGUCUCGGCGCGUAAAGCCCUGUCAGCAGGGAAGAAAAUGACGGUACCUGAAGAAGAAGCACCGGCUAACUACGUGCCAGUAGCCGCGGUAAUACGUAGGGGGCAAGCGUUAUCCGGAUUUACUGGGUGUAAAGGGGGCGCAGGCGGGGAUGCAAGUCAGGAGUGAAAGCCCGGGGCUCAACCACGGGACUGCUCUUGGAACUGCGUGGCUAGAGUGCAGGAGGGGCAGGCGGAAUUCCUGGUGUAGCGGUGAAAUGCGUAGAUAUCAGGAGGAACACCGGUGGCGAAGGCGACCUGCUGGACUACAACUGACGUUGAGGCCCGAAAGCGUGGGGAGCAAACAGGAUUAGAUACCCCGGUAGUC